UCGUGGGGCUUCGGCCCCGUCGAGAUUGCACCCUUGCCUUUAUAGUACCUUGGUUCCCUCCCGCACCUCCGGGACGGGAGGGACCUUGUCUGUUUCCCCGCGGCGGCGAGAGCCCCCGGGGACCACCAAACACGCUGCAACCACUGUAACUGUCUGAUAAACAAACAAAAAUCA
rnacentral:misc_RNA from 1 species